UGGGGAAUAUUGGACAAUGGGCGAAAGCCUGAUCCAGCCAUGCCGCGUGUGUGAAGAAGGUCUUCGGAUUGUAAAGCACUUUAAGUUGGGAGGAAGGGCAUUAACCUAAUACGUUAGUGUUUUGACGUUACCGACAGAAUAAGCACCGGCUAACUCUGUGCCAGCAGCCGCGGUAAUACAGAGGGUGCAAGCGUUAAUCGGAAUUACUGGGCGUAAAGCGCGCGUAGGUGGUUUGUUAAGUUUGAUGUGAAAUCCCCGGGCUCAACCUGGGAACUGCAUUCAAAACUGACUGACUAGAGUAUGGUAGAGGGUGGUGGAAUUUCCUGUGUAGCGGUGAAAUGCGUAGAUAUAGGAAGGAACACCAGUGGCGAAGGCGACCACCUGGACUAAUACUGACACUGAGGUGCGAAAGCGUGGGGAGCAAACA
rnacentral:rRNA from 1 species